rnacentral:rRNA from 1 species
AUUGAACGCUGGCGGCAUGCCUUACACAUGCAAGUCGAACGGUAACAGGUCUUCGGAUGCUGACGAGUGGCGAACGGGUGAGUAAUACAUCGGAACGUGCCUAGUAGUGGGGGAUAACUACUCGAAAGAGUGGCUAAUACCGCAUGAGAUCUACGGAUGAAAGCAGGGGAUCGCAAGACCUUGUGCUACUAGAGCGGCCGAUGGCAGAUUAGGUAGUUGGUGGGAUAAAAGCUUACCAAGCCGACGAUCUGUAGCUGGUCUGAGAGGACGAUCAGCCACACUGGGACUGAGACACGGCCCAGACUCCUACGGGAGGCAGCAGUGGGGAAUUUUGGACAAUGGGCGAAAGCCUGAUCCAGCAAUGCCGCGUGCAGGAUGAAGGCCUUCGGGUUGUAAACUGCUUUUGUACGGAACGAAAAGCCUUGGGUUAAUACCCUGGGGUCAUGAUGGUACCGUAAGAAUAAGCACCGGCUAACUACGUGCCAGCCGCCGCCGUAA